CCUACGGGCGGCUGCAGUGGGGAAUAUUGGACAAUGGGGGCAACCCUGAUCCAGCCAUGCCGCGUGUGUGAAGAAGGCCCUCGGGUUGUAAAGCACUUUCAGUGAGGAAGAACGCCUGGUGGUUAAUACCCAUCAGGAAAGACAUCACUCACAGAAGAAGCACCGGUUAACUCCGUGCCAGCAGCCGCGGUAAUACGGAGGGUGCGAGCGUUAAUCGGAAUUACUGGGCGUAAAGCGCGCGUAGGUGGCUUGAUAAGCCGGUUGUGAAAGCCCCGGGCUCAACCUGGGAACGGCAUCCGGAACUGUCAAGCUAGAGUGCAGGAGAGGAAGGUAGAAUUCCCGGUGUAGCGGUGAAAUGCGUAGAGAUCGGGAGGAAUACCAGUGGCGAAGGCGGCCUUCUGGACUGACACUGACACUGAGGUGCGAAAGCGUGGGUAGCAAACAGGAUUAGAUACCCUGGUAGUC
rnacentral:rRNA from 1 species